UGAUGGUUUCUUUUAUGAAAAUUUUCUUUUCUUCCACAGGGAUGGAUUUUAUCAUCAAGGUGUGGUGGGUUCAUGAAAUCUUAUUUCAGUAAAUCGGAGAAGUUGACUAGCGCCUUUCUAAAGCAGAAUCAAUGGUACGAAAUGCCUACUCAUCAUCAGAACUAAGAGACACUUAAUCUAAGAUAUGAGAACGAUAUAUUUUCGCCCUCAUGUUUGUAUGAGAAAGCUAUUAUUUAUACCCCCUUAUUUAGACGCACACUACCUUAGUUGGCUUUAGAUGACAGACCUGUAAGACUGUGCCUACCGUUCCUUUCUGUUCAUGAACCCCUCAUAGAUGAUAUAUCUAGUAUCAUAGGUAGAGUGAUAUCUCCAGUUUGCCCAUCCUGGCAUUGUGUUUGUUAUGGGACUUGAGCUUAUCUGUGCACCACAACUGGGACCCUUGUCUUCAUGCAAUCAGGCUAUUCUUUGCUACUAAAGUGGCACCUUGUCUCUUGGUCUAUCUCGUCCUCCCUCUCCUAACCUGUCCGUAGUUGCAUAUUUGGACGCUUACUGGCAUAUCAACCCGAUACCUGUUGCUCUACUAUGGUUAUGCUGUUUUUCUUGGUUCUGACAUUGUCGCCUUGAGUGCAAGAAACAACCUGCUGGUACUAAACCCAGUGCAUAUUGACAACUCCAAUCCAUCAAUUACAUUGACAAAGCAUAUUCAGAUAAGAGAUAUAGAUUAGUAUUAAGUCAUACCUAUGAAAUGGAUCUAAUCGAUCAAAUGUAAAUUUCAAAGUAGAUACAUAUAUGAGUAAAAUUUUCUUUGUGCAACGUAUAGCCUGAUCGUUCUGUUUCUUUUCUACUUAUUCUUUUGAUUUUAUGAUUGUAGCUGCAGAAUUGUUCAUGUAUCAUGUAUUCUGGUAGGGCUAAUUGUACUUCCCACAUUUUUGCUUUGUCAAGUUUUGCAUCAGCUCUAUUUUGGAAGCAUGUCACGGUAUUGCUUUUCGGACCAGCUAGUAAAUCUAUUGGGAGAAAAGCAGUUAAACUUGCUGAAUAAUGCCACCAAACUCUUAGGUCAUUCAUAUCAAACUGAUAUUGUGUUGAGUAAAGUGGCAUUAAUGCCUAUAGCGCUGAUAUGUUCGAGAGAGCACUCUGUCACUUUGGCUGCCUAUCUGAUGCAAAAUCCUUGUGAUAGUGGCUCCAACAACCUGCAUUUCAAUCCCCAUUUUUUUUGUUGAAUUCCCUUGAGAAGGCAGGAAGAAGAUAAAGGAUAUAUGAAACCUUCUUGACUAGGAUUUAGGUCUAAUGCUUCCAAUAAUCUUAAGAACAAAUUCAGGGAGAUUAUGAAUCAAUUUGGUCAAAUCUGUGGUGGUCUCCAUAGCUAGUUGACUAUGAACCAAAUAGAAACAGAGAUCAUUCACAAUAUUAUAUAGUCCUAAUAAAUUAUCGUUGUGUAAGAAUGAUGUAUAAGAAGAAUAAGGAAGCAAUACUUUUUUCCAAAUGUAGACAAGUAGCUUCUUACCCUUUAAUAUUGAUUUAGGAGUCAUAGAGUUUUCUCAUUCACUCAUUUGUUUGAUCAUUUCACUAAUCAUGCAAUGGAAGUAUGUAAAUUAUCUGCUAUUACUUAUAUCUGCUUCUCCUCUAGUUUAAGGAGAAUCAUUUCAAUGAUAUUUUGAGCUAUUUUCUGAUAAAACUUAACCUGACAUCAGAUUUAGACAAUGCUGCAGGAUUCUUUCUAGAUGCUGAAAGUCAUAGGCAUAACCUGUUAAAUUUGGACUCCAUUCAGGUAUUGGCAUAACCUGUUAAAUUUGGACUCCAUUCAGGUAUUUGAAUUAUAGUCCUACUGCACAGUUUAUGGCAAUAUUACAUUAAAAUGGUAUAAAUAAUAUUAGAAUAUGUAUGCUAUGAAUUGCACCAAAAUUGAAGUAAAAAAUCAAGUUUCAAUAGAUGAAUCAUUAUUUUACGUUACAGAUAUAUCCUGAGUUAUUUAGUGCCUACACCACAUAAGAUUAUUGAAACAUGUUUUGAAUAAUAAGAGAUAAACUAAAGAAUAUAAAUAACAUGUUUUGAAUAACCAUUUUAUACUUGUGCUAAGCAUGAUGUUAGCGUUAAUUCAUUAGUAUGCAAUGAUUGGGAUUAGCAAUUUUGGAGAUGUCAUGCAAAUAAAGUGGUAACACCAUUCAUUCAUUUGUAUUUUCGGAAACACUACCCUAAUUAAUCUGUUUACCAUGGUGUGUGAAGCAAUACAGUGCAAUGUCAAUUAUCUACUUCUAUCAAGUAAAGGAAAAAGAGAAAGGAAGUAACAAAUAUACAAUUAUUUAUCAGCUUUAUCUUUUUGAAGGGAAUCAUUUUCCCAUUUUAUAUCACAAAGAAAGAAAGGAUAUUUUUCCUCCCCAAACACAACAUAUCUUUAACAGGAAAAUGACAAAAUGAGCAUGAAAAAAUAAAAAGUGAUAAUAUGGAUACCACAAAAUAUGUAGUCACACUAUAACAAGACAAAAAAUCCCAUAAUUAAAAUAGCAGAACCUGCGAAGCUUCACUCUAAUACAGAUCGAAAACUCAUAGGCAAUUCUUACAUUAUAUCAACAAAUUGUUUAUAAUGGACAAUCCCAUAUAAAGAUAAAGAAUAAGUACAUCACUGGAUUGUAAACCGAAGAUGGGUAACUGAUGUCAUGACUUUUGUGAUUUGUUUAUUUAGAGCAUUUAGAUAAGAGGAAAAACUGCUAAAACUUCAGAAAAUUGAUCAAUAGAAUUAGAGGUUAUGAUGGCCAAUCACCUAUGAAGGAUAUUUUGUAAUUCAAAUUUUACACGUCUGUUGUAUUUCACGCCAAUCAGUGUAAUAAAGUCUGCGUACACAAUACCCUCCCCAGACCCCACGGUGUGGGAUAAUACUGGGUAUGUUGUUGUAAAAUAUAUGUGAGGUAUAAACAUUAUUUAAAGAAAGAUUUGUAGUGUAUUCUAAAAACAAUUGUAUUAGUUAUAAAAUAAAAAUAGAAGUGUAAGAAAAAGUAAGUUUCAUGCACAUCUCAUGAAUAUUUUUCUUAUACAUAUCUUUCGCAUAAAUAGUAGUUUCUGUUUCGCUGUUCUAAUACUCUCAAAUAAUCUGCAUAUGAUAUCGAAAUCAGAUCCAUCCACAAUUUGUUCAAAAUCAUGCACCAAUAUUACCAUUUACCGACAGAAUCUUCCAAAAUUGCAGCAACGUACUACAUCAAAAGUCAUCAUCUUGAACUUGAGAUUCAAUGUUACAGUUUUUACAUGUUUUUCCCCAUCUCU
rnacentral:lncRNA from 1 species